rnacentral:rRNA from 1 species
CGGAUUNAAGGCUGAAAUUCGCCUUCAUGAAGCCGGAAUUGCUAGUAAUGGCAGGUCAGCAUACUGCCGUGAAUACGUUCCCGGGCCUUGUACACACCGCCCGUCACACCAUGAGAGUUGGGAAUACCCGAAGCCUGUGAGCUAACUUUUAGAGGCAGCAGUCGAAGGUAGAAUCAAUGAUUGGGGUGAAGUCGUAACAAGGUACC